CCUACGUGGGGCAGCAGUGGGGAAUAUUGCACAAUGGAGGAAACCCUGAUGCAGCGACGCCGCGUGAGUGAAGAAGCGCCUCGGCGUGUUAAGCUCUGUCAGCAGGAAAGUUAAUGACGGUACGUGAAGAAGAAGCCCCGGCUAACUACGGUCCAGCAGCCGCGGUAAGACGUAGGGGGCAAGCGUUAUCCGGAUUUACUGGGUGUUAAGGGAGCGUAGACGGCGGGGAAAGUCUGGAGUGAAAGGCCGGUGCCCAACCCCGGGACCGCUUUGGAAACUGCCCGGCUGGAGUGCGGGAGAGGUAAGCGGAAUUCCCAGUGUAGCGGUGAAAUGCGUAGAUAGUAGGAGGAACACCAGCGGCGAAGGCGGCUUACUGGACCGUGACUGACGUUGAGGCGCGAAAGCGUGGGGAGCAAACAGGAUUAGAUACCCUAGUAGUC
rnacentral:rRNA from 1 species